CCUACGGGGGGCAGCAGUGGGGAAUAUUGGGCAAUGGGCGCAAGCCUGACCCAGCAACGCCGCGUGAAGGAAGAAGGCUUUCGGGUUGUAAACUUCUUUUAAGAGGGAAGAGAAGAAGACGGUACCUCUUGAAUAAGCCACGGCUAACUACGUGCCAGCAGCCGCGGUAAUACGUAGGUGGCAAGCGUUGUCCGGAUUUACUGGGUGUAAAGGGCGUGCAGCCGGGCUGACAAGUCAGAUGUGAAAUCCCGCGGCUCAACCGCGGAACUGCAUUUGAAACUGUCAGUCUUGAGUACCGGAGAGGUCAUCGGAAUUCCUUGUGUAGCGGUGAAAUGCGUAGAUAUAAGGAAGAACACCAGUGGCGAAGGCGGUCUGCUGGACAGCAACUGACGCUGAGGCGCGAAAGCGUGGGGAGCAAACAGGAUUAGAUACCCUUGUAGUC
rnacentral:rRNA from 1 species